AACGAACGCUGGCGGCAUGCCUAACACAUGCAAGUCGAACGAGACCUUCGGGUCUAGUGGCGCACGGGUGCGUAACGCGUGGGAACCUGCCCUUAGGUUCGGAAUAACUCCCCGAAAGGGGUGCUAAUACCGGAUAAUGUCUUCGGACCAAAGAUUUAUCGCCUUUGGAUGGGCCCGCGUUGGAUUAGCUAGUUGGUAGGGUAAAAGCCUACCAAGGCGACGAUCCAUAGCUGGUCUGAGAGGAUGAUCAGCCACACUGGGACUGAGACACGGACCAGACUCCUACGCGAGGCAGCAGUGGGUAAUAUUGGACGCUGGACCCAAGCCUGAUCCAGCCAUGCCGCGUGAGUGAUGAAGGCCUUAGGGUUGUAAAGCUCUUUUACCCGGGAUGAUAAUGACAGUACCGGGAGAAUAAGCUCCGGCUAACUCCGUG
rnacentral:rRNA from 1 species